GAUCCUGGCUCAGGACGAACGCUGGCGGCGCGCCUAACACAUGCAAGUCGAACGGAGCUGAGAGGAGCUUGCUUUUCUUAGCUUAGUGGCGAACGGGUGAGUAACGCGUGAGUAACCUGCCCUGGAGUGGGGGACAACAGUUGGAAACGGCUGCUAAUACCGCAUAAGCCCACGAUCCGGCAUCGGAUUGAGGGAAAAGGAUUUAUUCGCUUCAGGAUGGACUCGCGUCCAAUUAGCUAGUUGG
rnacentral:rRNA from 1 species